rnacentral:rRNA from 1 species
UACAGAGGGUGCGAGCGUUAAUCGGAAUUACUGGGCGUAAAGCGUGCGUAGACGGUUAUUUAAGUCGGGUGUGAAAGCCCCGGGCUCAACCUGGGAAUUGCAUUCGAGACUGAAUAGCUAGGGUACGGUAGAGGGAAGCGGAAUUUCCGGUGUAGCGGUGAAAUGCGUAGAUAUCGGAAGGAACAUCAGUGGCGAAAGCGGCUUCCUGGACCAGUACCGACGUUCAGGCACGAAAGCGUGGGGAGCAAACAGGA